rnacentral:rRNA from 1 species
AUUGAACGCUGGCGGCAUGCUUUACACAUGCAAGUCGAACGGUAACAGGCCGCAAGGUGCUGACGAGUGGCGAACGGGAGAGUAAUGCAUCGGAACGUGCCCAGUCGUGGGGGAUAACGCAGCGAAAGCUGCGCUAAUACCGCAUACGAUCUAUGGAUGAAAGCGGGGGACCGUAAGGCCUCGCGCGAUUGGAGCGGCCGAUGUCAGAUUAGGUAGUUGGUGGGGUAAAGGCUCACCAAGCCGACGAUCUGUAGCUGGUCUGAGAGGACGACCAGCCACACUGGGACUGAGACACGGCCCAGACUCCUACGGGAGGCAGCAGUGGGGAAUUUUGGACAAUGGGCGCAAGCCUGAUCCAGCAAUGCCGCGUGCAGGAAGAAGGCCUUCGGGUUGUAAACUGCUUUUGUACGGAACGAAAAGGCUCUGGAUAAUACCUGGGGCUCAUGACGGUACCGUAAGAAUAAGCACCGGCUAACUACGUGCCAGCCGCCGCCGUAAGAC